rnacentral:rRNA from 1 species
GACGAACGCUGGCGGCGUGCUUAACACAUGCAAGUCGAACGGAAAGGCCCUGCUUUUGUGGGGUGCUCGAGUGGCGAACGGGUGAGUAACACGUGAGUAACCUGCCCUUGACUUUGGGAUAACUUCGGGAAACUGGGGCUAAUACCGGAUAGGAGCUCCUGCUGCAUGGUGGGGGUUGGAAAGUUUCGGCGGUUGGGGAUGGACUCGCGGCUUAUCAGCUUGUUGAUGGGGUAGUGGCUUACCAAGGCUUUGACGGGUAGCCGGCCUGAGAGGGUGACCGGCCACAUUGGGACUGAGAUACGGCCCAGACUCCUACGGGAGGCAGCAGUGGGGAAUAUUGCACAAUGGGCGGAAGCCUGAUGCAGCAACGCCGCGUGCGGGAUGACGGCCUUCGGGUUGUAAACCGCUUUCGCCUGUGACGAAGCGUGAGUGACGGUAAUGGGUAAAGAAGCACCGGCUAACUACGUG